UCUAAGAAAUACUGGAUGUCUAUUUUUGGUAAUCCUUAAAGGAUUGAGGUUUCUAAGAAUAAGAAAUUACUAAAUAAAAGAUCUAAGGCAUGGUUAUGCAUUUUUAAAGGACAUAGAAAAGAAGGUUUAAAGGCUAAUUUGAAAAUGUGAAAUUUAUAAAGAAGAAGAGAAACAUCAA